CAAGAAGAUAGAACUGGAAAACAAGAGAUGAAAUAACCUGAAACAAUAGAUAUUGUUUAAUAAUUCAAUCUUCUUUUUUUGUUUUUUGGUUUUCCUUCUCCCCAAAAACAAUAAAAUACGUAACUUGGAGAUUGUAUCGUACUCUCAGUCCUCAGUAAUAAUUAAUUACCCCUUCUUCUUUUAUUCCGCCCUUCUUUUUCUUUACCAGGUGAUGGCUGUGGACACCUAGUGACUUAUCAGGAUAGUGGCACAAUGACAUCUAAGAAUUAUCCGGGGACCUACCCCAAUCACACUGUUUGCGAAAAGACAAUUACAGUACCAAAGGGGAAAAGACUGAUUCUGAGGUUGGGAGAUUUGGAUAUCGAAUCCCAGACCUGUGCUUCUGACUAUCUUCUCUUCACCAGCUCUUCAGAUCAAUAUGGUCCAUACUGUGGAAGUAUGACUGUUCCCAAAGAACUCUUGUUGAACACAAGUGAAGUAACCGUCCGCUUUGAGAGUGGAUCCCACAUUUCUGGCCGGGGUUUUUUGUUGACCUACGCGAGCAGCGACCAUCCAGAUUUAAUAACGUGUUUGGAACGAGCUAGCCAUUAUUUGAAGACAGAAUACAGACCUCUUUAUUGUGCAAAGCGGCCAUCCAUGCAGGAAUAAUUGCUGAUGAACUGGGUGGCCAGAUCAGUGUGCUUCAGCGCAAAGGGAUCAGUCGAUAUGAAGGGAUUCUGGCCAAUGGUGUGCUUUCGAGGGAUGGUUCCCUGUCAGACAAGCGAUUUCUGUUUACCUCCAAUGGUUGCAGCAGAUCCUUGAGUUUGGAACCUGACGGGCAAAUCAGAGCUUCUUCCUCAUGGCAGUCGGUCAAUGAGAGUGGAGACCAAGUUCACUGGUCUCCUGGCCAAGCCCGACUUCAGGACCAAGGCCCAUCAUGGGCUUCGGGCGACAGUAGCAACAACCACAAACCACGAGAGUGGCUGGAGAUCGAUUUGGGGGAGAAAAAGAAAAUAACAGGUGCAGAAAAUAACACAAGUGCAAAGUGCAGGAGUAGUUUCAUGACUGUAAAUGACUCGCAGUUGAAAAUAUGCUUAUUGUUUACAUAGGUGCCUCUCUACCUACCUCCAAGAUCUUGAAAUAUUUGAAAAUGUAACAAAUCUUUACAUUCUUUCUGUGGAAAGAAUCUGUAUGCAGGUUGUAAAUAUGGAUAUAUGGAUUAGAGAGAUAAUUCUUCAAUGGUGAAAUCUUUAUAUGGUUUAUUGUCAGUGUGAAAACAUUAAUCUGUGAAGAGAUUUUUAAAUGCAACUAAUAUAAGUUGGCCUGUGAGAUGAUCUGAGGUUUUAAAUGAGGGAGAAAAAAAUGAAACUUGAAAUUAUAAUAGAUGUUAUAUUUAACAAACUUUUAAAAAUAGCCCGUAAAUAUUUUCUUACAAGGAAUUCGGACCACUGGAUCUACACAGUCGAACUUCAACUUUUAUGUUAAGAGUUUUGUGAUGAACUUCAAAAACAAUAAUUCUAAGUGGAAGACCUAUAAAGGAAUUGUGAAUAAUGAAGAAAAGGUAAGAGGUAACCCUAGAGGCAAGAGAACUGAGUAGGAGAACAGGCCUCUAUAUAUUUUCGUCAGUGUGUUUACAUUAAAUAUCUCAAUAAAAGACAGUGAGGCCAGGCAUGGUGGUUCAUGCCUGUAAUCCCCAAGCUUUGGGAAGCCAAGGCAGGAGGAUCAUUUGAGACCAUCCUGGGCAACAUAGCAAGACCCCACCACUACAAAAAAAAAUUUUUUUUUAAUUACCCAAAUGUGGUGGUGCACACUUGUAGUCCUAGAUGCUUGGAAGGCUGAGGCAGGAAGAUCACUUGAGCUCAGGAGUUCAAGGUUACAGUGAAUUAUGAUUGUGCUGUUGCACUACAGCCUGGGCAACAGAGUAAGAUCCUGUCUCUAAAAUAAAAUAAACUAUUUAAAAAGAUGAUGAUGGGCUGGUCGUGCUGGCUCACACAUAUAAUCUCAGCACAUUGGGAGGCUAAGGCAGGUGGAUCACCCAAGGUCAGGAGUUCGAGACCAGCCUGGCCAACAUAGUGAAACCCCAUCUCUACUAAAAAUACAAAAAUUAGCCGGGUGUGGUGGCUGGCGCCUAUAAUCCCAGCUACUUGGGAGGCUGAGGCAGGAGAAUCAUUUGAACCUGGGAGGCGGAGGUUGCAGUGAGCCGAGAUUGCACUAUUGCACUCCAGCCUGGGCGACAAGAGUGAGAUUCCAUCUCAAAAAAAAAAAGAAAAAAAGAAAGAUGGGGCUUUCUUGGCAUCCAAAUCCAAGAAUAAGAAAUGUGUCAAUAAAAACCUUGAGAGCUCUUUGUGAUUUAAUUCUUUUCUACUUCAGGAAUGAAAUACUUGUGGUUUUCUUGGGAAGUGAAAAUUGGCCAUUUGAAAUGGCUGCUUCAGUAUAAGCAUGGUGGAUGUUUGAGUUGGACAUUUGUCUUGGGAUCCUGUUAGUGACAAUGAGAAUUCGGAAGGAAAUGGCAAAGUGAGAGAGCUGAGGCCUUGUGCUCUUGAGGUUGCUUGUCUGUAGCACCAGUUGAAUGUAGGAAUAUUAAGGUCAAAUAAUACAACAAGGCAAUUUUAGCUUCUUUAUCCAAAAUGAAAUUUAAAUCAGUAAACAGAUGAGCAGCACCACCUUAGUUAGAUAAAUUGGCCCUUGUUUGCAAAGCCUCGUAUCUUCAAUAUCAAGAGUGUCUAGAAAAAUGCAACAGACAUAGAAUCCUUGCCUUGGUUUCAUAUAACCAGGUAUAAGUGGGAUGAUAAACACCAAAAAACUCAUUAAUAGAAUCUUAAGGUAAACAUAAUUUCCUUCUAUAGGUGUUUCAGGGUAACUCUAACUUUCGGGACCCAGUGCAAAACAAUUUCAUCCCUCCCAUCGUGGCCAGAUAUGUGCGGGUUGUCCCCCAGACAUGGCACCAGAGGAUAGCCUUGAAGGUGGAGCUCAUUGGUUGCCAGAUUACACAAGGUAAUGAUUCAUUGGUGUGGCGCAAGACAAGUCAAAGCACCAGUGUUUCAACUAAGAAAGAAGAUGAGACAAUCACAAGGCCCGUCCCCUCGGAAGAAACAUCCAUAGGAAUAAAUAUUACAACGGUGGCUAUUCCAUUGGUGCUCCUUGUUGUCCUGGUGUUUGCUGGAAUGGGGAUCUUUGCAGCCUUUAGAAAGAAGAAGAAGAAAGGAAGUCCGUAUGGAUCAGCAGAGGCUCAGAAAACAGACUGUUGGAAGCAGAUUAAAUAUCCCUUUGCCAGACAUCAGUCAGCUGAGUUUACCAUCAGCUAUGAUAAUGAGAAGGAGAUGACUCAAAAAUUAGAUCUCAUCACAAGUGAUAUGGCAGGUUAACUCCGUUGACUGCCAAAAUAGCAUCCCCAACGUGCAGCCCUCCACAUCUAUCAGCAGGUUGCCCCGGAUGGAUCUCAGAGAUGAGGAUUGGAACACCAUGUUCUUUCCCACCCUAACAACAACAACAAAGGGUAGUAAAUUAAAGUAUUCUUUGUAAGGUACAGUUACCGAUUAAUCUAGAGAUAAAAUAUUUUCUUAAAAAUAUAUUUCAUUACACACCUAUGCUGUCUCUAUUUA
rnacentral:sRNA from 1 species